rnacentral:misc_RNA from 1 species
UCUCCGUAGGUGAACCUGCGGAGGGAUCAUUACCGAGUGCGGACCAGGAGACCCCUGGCCCGUGACCUCCAACCCUUUGUGGACCUCAAAUCUCGUUGCUUCGGGGGCGACCCUGCCGUUCCGGCACCGGCGCCCCCGGAGGACUUCCAACCCUGCAUCAUUGCGUCGGAGUUUAAAACAAAUUAAACAAAACUUUCAACAACGGAUCUCUUGGUUCUGGCAUCGAUGAAGAACGCAGC